CGGUAAGUUAUAAACAGAACGAGAUGGUUAGACAGCCAACAUUCACGACAUCACAAAGAAUAAGUCAAUAAUUGAUUCAUGGUAGUUUCAUUAUCCUCAAACUUGCGUUCAUGCAAUAGACAUCACUCAUAAUCAUUAUUUCUACAAUUUCUCAAGGAUAUCUACUUUCUUACAUAGACAAAACGUUUGGCAUUUACAUUCCCUUGGUUAUCUUCUUAUAAUUUGUUUUUGGUGAAUGCUUCUGCUUAUAAUUUCUAGAAUUGAUUAUUGAUUACUAUUUUGCAGUUCCAAUUCAUAGACACACCAGUAUAUGCAAAAGUGAAAGCACAAGGGUUCAAAAGUGAAAGGGCUUGCUUAAAAAGAAUAGUGGGGAUCAAUUGAUCGGUAAGGACUCGCAAAUCAAUGGCUGAAAUGCAAUAAGAGAUGAAAGGGUUCUUCAAUCAAGUUUAAACCAUAUGAACAAAUGAUGAUCGUCUCACAUCAUUUAUCGGCUGCAAAUUGGACAGGAAUAUGCAGAAAUAGGGAAUAACGAUGGAGCAUAGCAACAACCUUAAUGUAAAAAAUGAGAUUAGUAUAUGCAGUACAUGCGGCAGUGCUGCGAUAGCUGCACUUAUUCGGUGUUGGAAUGUUGGGUUUUCACUUUCAAGAUAGAGAGGUGAGAAAAAGGGGAAAGGUAGUGGUGUCCUUUGCCACCGUUAAAAAGAAGCGGUGUGGUGGAUUGGCCACGGAGAAGUCAUUGUGAGCACAACAAGUUAUUACAUAGGUGACGAUGCCACCAUGACGACGAUUAAAGGAUCAUGAUUCCAGAUUCUUAAGCAAGAAGAAAGUACUCAAAAAACAUUGCUUUGAGUAGAGACCAUGAAACACAAGGAGGAAGAUAAAGCUGAAAAGCAAAUAGGUGUAAGAGAACUAGGGAGGGAGAAUUGAAUGGAGGAAAAAGUGUGAAUGAAGGUUGGAGUUGUCCUUGACAACAUUGAUAUUGGAGCAUAAGAGAGAUACAUAUGGAUACAAAAGGUAAGAAACCAGUAGCUCAACGUGGUGGCAAGGGCUGGGACAACAUUCCCAUGUCAUUGGUAGCGUUGGCAUUUCCAAUGGUUCUAAGUUCUAACAACUCAUGAUUAUCUCUUUAAUUGUCUUUCUCACACAUUCUUUGGUUGGAAGUUCAUACUUAUUUCGUUUCAUACACUCCAUUUUUUGUUUUGUUUUUGUAUUGUAAAUCAAGGAAAACUCUGUAUAUUUAUGAACACCGAUGGUGGAUAACAUUCUUCAAUUGUACUUUUUUUGUGUGUUUCUCUUUCCAAUGCAAGUGAUGAUUUAUUAACACCA